rnacentral:lncRNA from 1 species
UUCACAUCCCCACUCCGCAGCCCCCCCUCUGGAUUCUCUUGAUAGGAAUAAGUGCCCGAUCAUUAGGGAAGAAAAACUUUAUUGACUCAAGAUCUGGGAGGGCCGGCGCAAGGUCAGGAGCAAGUACCACCAGUUUUACAUAAUUUUUGCAUCUGCACCAAUUUGAUUUAAGGCUAUAAGUGGAAUUUAUUGGAGUUGGAAACCUUUCAAAAACAGUCCACAUGGCUUGUCCCCAUGCACCUGGCAUGCCUCAGGAGUGGAGAGAACGGAUGCCCACUAUGCUUUGAGCAAGAUGACAACUGAAAGUAACUUAAAGUUCCAUGAAACUCCUCCAGGUUCCUUUUUAGAAGGCAAAUUGGGCAGUAUUUUUUCCUAUACCAAUCCUGCCAUUUUUCCCCCAGAAAUUUAAAAAUCCUGGUUGCUAGAUCUGAAGAACUGCUUGUACCAUUCCGAGAGUCAAUGACACACUCUCCAAGCUGACAGGAACGUCGGCGUCUCCUCUGAGACUACAGCCAGGCUUCCAGAUUCUCUCUCAGUUCUCCGUUAAUGUUUUCUUUGUCACGGCUGUAAUUUGUCUAAAGUCCAAGAGGACACUGAAAACAGAAAACUCACUUCUCAAUCGAUUGAUGCUGUCAAAGAGUUGAAGGCUCAUGACCAGAUGUGUCCCUAGGAGCUGCCUGAGACUUGGGAGAUAUUCACCUAGUUAGAUGCCACUGCCUCCAAGAAGCCUCGCCCAUCACAAAGCUACAAGCAAUCUCUCUUGACUCUGACCCUCCACAGGAAUUCUGCAUCUCACCAAUAUGCCAUAUUCAGGCUUGCCUUAUGCUUCGACAGGCAUGUGCCUCAUCCUCACCACCUCGUCUGCAUCCUUGAGAGCAGGAUCCAGGUCCCGCUCAUCUUUACAGUGUCCACAGUGUCCAGAACAGUGCCUCUCAUGAAGCAGGGGCUGGCCAAAUGCAUCAUGCAUGAACAAAGCAGCUCCUUCCUCUGACUCUGGGACUCAAGGAACUGGAAUAAGCACAGAUAUUUAGCAUUAUAAGCCAUGAUGUUAUUGCACGGGACUGCCUCUCUCGUUAAGAUUAGAAGAACACAAAAGACCUUAGCUUCCUUCAUAAUAAAAAUUCAGACAAAAUCAGCAGCAGACUUUUCCACGGGGCUCAUGAAGAGCAGCAGAAACAAGGAAGGCUUGAUGAACUGAAUGCCAAAGAGAAACGAUGUCAUUGCAAAUAGGAAGACAGAAUGCCAUUUGCAAAAUGAUCCUGAAUUAGCAUCUUGCUUGUCCACAAUGGAGUCCUGCAUUUAGAACACUGCUGGGCUCUGAAGUCAGCUAGAAGACACAAGGGAAGCCACAGCGAGUUGACU